AGAGUUUGAUCCUGGCUCAGGACGAACGCUGGCGGCGUGCUUAACACAUGCAAGUCGAGCGAUGAAGCUUCUUCGGAAGUGGAUUAGCGGCGGACGGGUGAGUAACACGUGGGUAACCUGCCUUAUAGUGGGGAAUAGCCUUUCGAAAGGAAGAUUAAUACCCCAUAAGAUUGUAGUUUCGCAUGAAACAGCAAUUAAAGGAGCAAUUCGCUAUAAGAUGGACCCGCGGCGCAUUAGCUAGUUGGUGAGGUAACGG
rnacentral:rRNA from 1 species